UACGUAGGUCCCGAGCGUUGUCCGGAUUUAUUGGGCGUAAAGCGAGCGCAGGUGGUUUAUUAAGUCUGAUGUAAAAGGCAGUGGCUCAACCAUUGUAUGCAUUGGAAACUGGUAGACUUGAGUGCAGGAGAGGAGAGUGGAAUUCCAUGUGUAGCGGUGAAAUGCGUAGAUAUAUGGAGGAACACCGGUGGCGAAAGCGGCUCUCUGGCCUGUAACUGACACUGAGGCUCGAAAGCGUGGGGAGCAGACAGG
rnacentral:rRNA from 1 species